GGCAGCACGAUGUAGCAAUACAUUGGUGGCGACCGGCGCACGGGUGAGUAACGCGUAUGCAACCUACCUAUCAGAGGGGAAUAACCCGGCGAAAGUCGGACUAAUACCGCAUAAAACAGGGGUUCCACAUGGAAAUAUUUGUUAAAGAAUUAUCGCUGAUAGAUGGGCAUGCGUUCCAUUAGAUAGUUGGUGAGGUAACGGCUCACCAAGUCCACGAUGGAUAGGGGUUCUGAGAGGAAGGUCCCCCACACUGGUACUGAGACACGGACCAGACUCCUACGGGAGGCAGCAGUGAGGAAUAUUGGUCAAUGGGCGAGAGCCUGAACCAGCCAAGUCGCGUGAAGGAUGAAGGAUCUAUGGUUUGUAAACUUCUUUUAUAUGGGAAUAAAGUGAGGAACGUGUUCCUUUUUGUAUGUACCAUAUGAAUAAGCAUCGGCUAACUCCGUGCCAGCAGCCGCGGUAAUACGGAGGAUGCGAGCGUUAUCCGGAUUUAUUGGGUUUAAAGGGUGCGUAGGUGGUUAAUUAAGUCAGCGGUGAAAGUUUGUGGCUCAACCAUAAAAUUGCCGUUGAAACUGGUUGACUUGAGUAUAUUUGAGGUAGGCGGAAUGCGUGGUGUAGCGGUGAAAUGCAUAGAUAUCACGCAGAACUCCGAUUGCGAAGGCAGCUUACUAAACUAUAACUGACACUGAAGCACGAAAGCGUGGGGAUCAAACAGGAUUAGAUACCCUGGUAGUCCACGCAGUAAACGAUGAUUACUAGCUGUUUGCGAUACACAGUAAGCGGCACAGCGAAAGCGUUAA
rnacentral:rRNA from 1 species